rnacentral:rRNA from 1 species
AUGGCUAGCGUGUUUCAUCGUUCUCUCCUUGAUCUCCAUCAACGUGGUUCGGAUCCUCGUCGAGAGUGCGCACGAGCCCACCAAUGGGUCGCCAAGGAGGAGGAGGCCAAGUACAAGGCCGCCAAAGACGCCUACGAGCUGGCCAGACGCAAGCUCGCGAACUUCAACGGGCCCCUCUCCCACCUCAACCGCCAGGCGCGCGAUCCGGCGGCUGAGCAGCCGCACCUUCGUGCGGCGGCUCUGAAUGCCGCGCAGGAGGAGCACGACAGGCUCUUCACCGACGAGAAGCUCGCAAAAAGGGAGAUGGAAAGGUUAGUGCAGAAACAAGGCAUGGAGCGGAUUGAGGGAUGGCCGUUGGUUGUGAUCCGUGGUUUGUUCUUCUUUUCAGUUCUUUGCUCCCAGAUUUCUUGCGGGUUUGCAACAGCAGGUUUCUAUUACUCCAAGCAGAUAGAGUCGCGCUGUGCUCUCGGUCCGCUUGAUAUCUUUGCUUUCGUGUUGAUUGGAGUCGUUUCACUGCCGUACCAUUUGUUCCUUUUCUGGGUUUCUCUGCGCGGGAACUAA